rnacentral:snoRNA from 1 species
CCUGCACCUAGAGACUGCAAAUGUGGCUGCUGUGUCACAUGUGUCAGUAGGUAGGAGAGAAGCCACGUCUACACUCAGUGUUCUGACCUGUGAACAUCUGAGUGUUAGUAGCCCAACAUA